GCCAUUUAGUAUAUUUAUUCAAUUCAACUGUGAAAACAAGCAGGAAAUGUUGGUUAAUUUUAGAAAGAAAUCAGUAAUUCUUUUUCUUCAGUUCUUUUAUUAUAAAAGUGUACACUUUCACACAUAAGAAAUGUGCUUCAAUUAUGUACCAUCAAAAUGAUGCAACAGGACACAUUAUUAUCAAAAAACUUUUUAUUUAUUACUUUGAAUAUGCACAAAUUUACUGAAAAAUGGUUUCAUACAACUAUGUACAAUCAGGAGGUUUAGAUGAUCAAAACAGUCUCAUGUAAAGCUGCAGCCUGGAGUUUAAUGAUGCAGAACAAUAGGCAUUAUCCAGUGUCUUUCUGAAGCACAGAGCGUGUCAAUUAGUGCACUCUCAUAAAGCGGAACAAAAACAAGAAAUAUAGACUCUCCCAUCUCCCCCUUAAGCCAGAGAGAUUAAAAUCAAACGCAAACAAGUGGGCUGCUGACCAUAAUAUCAUUAACUAAGACAAAAAUACCCGUGUACAUCUAAUACAUUAUUACAAUGACAUACUGUUAAAGGAGCUAAAGACAGAAAAAUACAAUCGUACAUAGUUUAUACAUACAUACAGUCAAAGUUUGUACAUUCUGUCAAUUGAUUAUCUGAAUGUUUGCUAAGUUUGGUACAAGACCUGUUGCAUGUAAAUGGGAAGCUGACUGCAGUCUGACAAUACUUCAUCUAAAGUUAUUUUAAACUCUUUUUUGUCAUAAUGACAUGCACUUUUAAUGAAUAUGCAAUAUUUGUCUCACACUCAUUUAAAAGAAACAGAGCCGAGUUACAGCACCAUUUUCAUAUAAAUUUGAACCUACUAGUCCAUGGUUGAACAUCGAGGCUCACACAUAGUUUCGUUUAUCAUAGUCCCCAUUGACUGAUGUGCUUUUUAUAGGUGGAGGUACAUAUUUUAGAGGAUACGAGGUUUUCUCAUCAUUUGGACGAGAGAAACAAAGAAUCACUCCUCCGACCAGAAGCAUGGAAGACGCUGCCCAUCCGAUGUAGAGCGCAGCUCCAAUUUCUCUCUUCUUUGCAUUAGGGACGUGAGGGUCAUAGAAGUCCGAGAUGAUGUUAUUGGCCAUCCAGCACAGAGGCACCAGCACAAACAAGCCUGCGAUGAUGUAUAUCACCCCUCCGACGUUGACAACUUUGGCUUUGAUGGACUCUUUACUGAUGCAGUUGGUGCACUGAGCGCCGGCGAUGGUUAUCAUCAGUGCCUGGACACCCAAAACCGCUGAGAUGACCGUCAGAGCCCGAGCAGUCUGGAGGUCAGUGGUCAGUGCCAGGACUGAGUCGUGCAUUUUACACUGCAUCUGACCCGUGCUCUGGACCACGCAGGACAUCCACAGCCCGUCCCAGAUGUUUUGCGCCACCACGAUGUUGCCCUCAAUGAAGGCGGACACUUUCCACAUGGGCAGCCCGCAAGCAACCAUUACCAAAAGGGUCCCGGUGACGCUCAAGCCAAGUCCAAUAAUCUCCAGACAUGCAGAAAUCAUCUUUGCAAAGUUUUUUAUGCUCUUUUUCUCAGUUUAGAAAGUCUAGAUCCCGUAAUUUGUUCAAAGCAGGUGUUUAGAGCAGAAGUAUCUCUUCAUUGCUCGCCAGUGUUGUAGAAUGAGAUGCGCUGGGAGUUUUCUGCUCUUGAGUGCAGG
ensembl:lncRNA